GACGAACGCUGGCGGCGUGCUUAACACAUGCAAGUCGAACGGAAAGGCCCUGCUUUUGUGGGGUGCUCGAGUGGCGAACGGGUGAGUAACACGUGAGUAACCUGCCCUUGACUUUGGGAUAACUUCAGGAAACUGGGGCUAAUACAGGAUAGGAGCUCCUGCUGCAUGGUAGGGGUUGGAAAGUUUCGGCGGUUGGGGAUGGACUCGCGGCUUAUCAGCUUGUUGGUGGGGUAGUGGCUUACCAAGGGUUUGACGGGUCGCCGGCCUGAGAGGGUGACCGGCCACAUUGGGACUGAGAUACGGCCCAGACUCCUACGGGAGGCAGCAGUGGGGAAUAUUGCACAAUGGGCGGAAGCCUGAUGCAGCAACGCCGCGUGCGGGAUGACGGCCUUCGGGUUGUAAACCGCUUUCGCCUGUGACGAAGCGUGAGUGACGGUAAUGGGUAAAGAAGCACCGGCUAACUACGUG
rnacentral:rRNA from 1 species